UGUGGGAGCGGGCUUGCUCGCGAAUGCGCUUUAUCAGUCUCAGAUGUAUUAACUGAACCACCGCAUUCGCGAGCAAGCCCGCUCCCACA
rnacentral:misc_RNA from 1 species